GCCCACAGCACCACUCUGUAUAGCUGUGGGCUGCUUCGGAGAAGGCGAGCAGAAAACAAUAGAGGCAGACACUCAGAGCAUACAAAACUGCAGCAGCCAGCAGCCGAAUCAAAAUGGCAGACACAGAAAUUAUAGAGGGUGGUUAUAUAUAUUCAACUAUUUAUGGGCAGAAUAGAGAAAAGGAAAUACAUCUUCUCCUCUACAGGAGAUGCAAUUCCUCAGCCUAGUUUUCAUUAAAUUUCUUCCUUCCUGGGACGAGGUCUUCUCUGAUGAAAUACUUCUAUGAAAAGAAGCUGCAGAAGUGGUGGUGAGUGACUGUGAAAGUCUUUGAGGCUGCUAAAGGGUCAUGUGUCUGAAUGGGAGUUGAAUGCACAGAAAAAGCUAUUUCACUGUGCUCGUCUACAUUCAUUCAUAUAAGAUGAGGAGCCUCAGGCCUUAGAAUUCCACUGACUUUAAUUCCUGCUAUAAAAUCAUGAGAAGAUGAUUCCCAGUGUUUUGCUGGGCCACACAGUUUAUACAGUCAUCAUUUUUGUUAAUAAUGUACACAAAUAUGAUCUUUUUUAACCUAUAGCGGGUUUUUUUGUUGGUUAAAAGCAAUUUGAAAGACCCCCCCUCUUUUCU